UGGAGAACCAGAUGGUACAUCCCAAUCUCUCCUCCUCUCUGUCUCUCAUUCUCCUCCCUCCUGCUUCCAGUGUCCUCCAUCUCUCCGCUUUCCCUCAUUUUCUCUUAUUAAGGACAUUCUCACUUCUAGAGCUUGCUGCAGUUCUUACUCCAUCUGUAAUCCCUGUCAUCUCUACAGAGCUUUUGGAGAGUGAAGCAGCACCGAGCUGACCUUAUAAAGACUCCACCAGACCAGACCACACCUCUGUCUCUGAGUCCAUGGAAGCCAAGGCCAAGUCCGGGGCUUCAGCGCCCAAGGCAGCAUCCAAAGCAGAGAAGAAAGAGGCAGCAGCCCCACGCAAGAGUGACCCUGCGCCUGUAGCACCUGAGCCAGAGCAGCCCCCUCCUCAGGAUGGAGCAGCAGAGACGGAAGCAGCAGGUGAUGAGGCUGCGGCCUCUGGCACAGACUCUCUGGAACAACUGAAGCCCUUCCUCAUCGGUGGUGCAGUUAUUGCUGCAGGAGCCAUCCUGCUGGGAAUGCUGCUACUGGCGAGGAGAAAUUAAAACCAAAUCAUUAUCUCAAGUUAAAGUAUUCAUUGGUUAAUGAGCUAGAGCGCCAUUGCUAAGUGGUUCACAGACUAUGAUACCUGGGGGAUGGGGAGCCACUGUGCAUCAUAUUGUUUUUGUUUUCUGUUUUUUUUUAGCCUGCUUUCACUUAUAGCAAAUCAAACCGUUCAAGUUUUGAUCAAAGGCUGUAUAUGAAGCAUAAAUACAUAUAGUAUAUGCAUGAAGUUACUUCAAUAUUGCAUCUGAACUGUAAUAAUCUCUUUCCUAAAAAAACAACUCACUGUAGUGCUGAACUUUAGAGCCGGGCCUCUCUAAAACUAGCUUAUUCAACUGCUCUAUCUUCUUUAAACCAGUUUGCACAAGUGUUGACAAAAGAUUGCAAUAUUUGUACAUUCUUGCACUGAAUAUGUGAUUGGUUUCACGUUGCUAAAAUAUGGUGAAAGAACCUUCUCAUAAUGUUGAAACUAUGGAUAAUAAUGCCGGCUACCACAGUCGCUCUAGGGUUUAUUUUACUUCUGCAUAAGAGAAUGGAAAGAAUAGGACUGAAACAGAUGGGAAUAUGCAUUUGGAUGUAUCACACAUGAUGUGGCUAAAUCAGUGAUGAAGACAAGAUCUCCAGCUUCUCUUUCCUUAGAAUAGAAAGUAAUUCAAAAAGUGAGCGCCACCGUGCAUUUUAUAAAUCCGCUUUUUCAGAGACAGAAAAUAUGAGCAUGCAAUGAUUUAGGAAUGGGAUGUUUGGGGAAUGUUGCAGAAAAAUAAAUGUAGUAGGUGGCAGUGAACAAUAGUUCUGUUAUGUCUUGCUGUAGAGUAAGGAAGAGUUUACUUUUACUGUAAAAUGAUGUCACAAAUCAAUAACCUUUCAUGUCUUACACAAAAGCCACCGUCAUGCUUGUUCAAUCUGUUCCCGUCUUACAGCAGAAGUAGUUGGAGAAAGGCUGAACGGCCAAUAGUGUUUGGAUUUGCUGCUGCAAACCCUCACCUGUACAGAUGUACACAAUAACGUCCACUCACAUGUAAAGCUCAUUGGGUUGUUCCUGUUGCAUAAGUAGUUAGCUGAUAGACAGUCGUGAUACACACCAUCACUUGAUAUAAGUUGUAAGGGUAAAUAUGAAUUUCAGAACAUUCUUCUGGCUAAUAGAUAUUGUAUAAACAUACCGCAUUAACCACAGUCAACAACCCAAACACAUCUAAAAGAUAGUAUGCCAACACCAAAAAUAUCUUCACCUUACAUUGUACAAUACAGUGUACCAAAAAAAGAUCCUAUUUUCAUAAUUUCAACAGCGUAUAAAUGCAAUAAUUCAGGUAGGACUCCUCAUUUAGCACACGUGCUGUAGCAAGUUAAAUUAUAUAAAGGAUGAUGUAAUAGUAUUGUUAUGGAUGAUAGUUUAUGAUAUAAGUGAUGGUAAUGAUUGUGAGAUGAAGAUGAUGAUGAUUUGAUGAGGUUUCAUGGUGACUGUAUGGAAGAUUAUGAUGGUUAUGAUAUAUUUUUGAUAUAUUUCUAACAUAUUUUCCUUAUGCACACUCCCUCCUGCCCCCAAACUCCUGAUGUAAAAAAGAGAAAGGAUGUAAUCUAACCUUUAUUAAAGUCAGUGAACCAGU